rnacentral:rRNA from 1 species
CUUUCCCUCUGUCGGCAGGCCUAACACAUGCAAGUCGAGCGGAUGAAGGGAGCCUGCUCCUGGAUUCAGCGGCGGACGGGUGAGUAAUGCCUAGGAAUCUGCCUGGUAGUGGGGGAUAACGUCCGGAAACGGGCGCUAAUACCGCAUACGUCCUGAGGGAGAAAGUGGGGGAUCUUCGGACCUCACGCUAUCAGAUGAGCCUAGGUCGGAUUAGCUAGUUGGUGGGGUAAAGGCCUACCAAGGCGACGAUCCGUAACUGGUCUGAGAGGAUGAUCAGUCACACUGGAACUGAGACACGGUCCAGACUCCUACGGGAGGCAGCAGUGGGGAAUAUUGGACAAUGGGCGAAAGCCUGAUCCAGCCAUGCCGCGUGUGUGAAGAAGGUCUUCGGAUUGUAAAGCACUUUAAGUUGGGAGGAAGGGCAGUAAGUUAAUACCUUGCUGUUUUGACGUUACCAACAGAAUAAGCACCGGCUAACUUCGUG